UACCAGCACCCCGAGUGGUCGGGACGUUUAUUGGGCCUAAAGCAUCCGUAGCCGGUUCUACAAGUCUUCCGUUAAAUCCAGCUGCCUAACAGAUGGGCUGCGGAAGAUACUAUGGAGCUAGGAGGCGGGAGAGGCAAGCGGUACUCGAUGGGUAGGGGUAAAAUCCGUUGAUCCAUUGAAGACCACCAGUGGCGAAGACGGCUUGCCAGAACGCGCUCGACGGUGAGGGAUGAAAGCUGGGGGAGCAAACCGGG
rnacentral:rRNA from 1 species